rnacentral:rRNA from 1 species
UACGAAGGGGGCUAGCGUUGCUCGGAAUUACUGGGCGUAAAGCGUGCGCAGGCGGUUCGACAAGUCCGAUGUGAAAGCCCCGGGCUCAACCUGGGAAUGGCAUUGGAAACUGGCGAGCUUGAGUGUGGCAGAGGGGGGUGGAAUUCCGCGUGUAGCAGUGAAAUGCGUAGAGAUGCGGAGGAACACCGAUGGCGAAGGCAGCCCCCUGGGCUGACACUGACGCUCAGGCACGAAAGCGUGGGGAGCAAACAGG